AAGGCCUUCAAAGCCUUAGACAAGAGCUAAACCCUCUUAGUUUCUG
rnacentral:tRNA from 1 species